rnacentral:rRNA from 1 species
UUAACACAUGCAAGUCGAGGGGCAGCAUUCCAGUUUGCUUGCAAACUGGAGAUGGCGACCGGCGCACGGGUGAGUAACACGUAUCCAACCUGCCGAUAACUCGGGGAUAGCCUUUCGAAAGAAAGAUUAAUACCCGAUGGCAUAAUAGAACCGCAUGGUUUGAUUAUUAAAGAAUUUCGGUUAUCGAUGGGGAUGCGUUCCAUUAGGCAGUUGGUGGGGUAACGGCCCACCAAACCUUCGAUGGAUAGGGGUUCUGAGAGGAAGGUCCCCCACAUUGGAACUGAGACACGGUCCAAACUCCUACGGGAGGCAGCAGUGAGGAAUAUUGGUCAAUGGACGAGAGUCUGAACCAGCCAAGUAGCGUGAAGGAUGACUGCCCUAUGGGUUGUAAACUUCUUUUAUAUGGGAAUAAAGUGGUCCACGUGUGGAUUUUUGUAUGUACCAUAUGAAUAAGGAUCGGCUAACUCCGUGCCAGCAGCCGCGGUAAUACGGAGGAUCCGAGCGUUAUCCGGAUUUAUUGGGUUUAAAGGGAGCGUAGGUGGACAGUUAAGUCAGUUGUGAAAGUUUGCGGCUCAACCGUAAAAUUGCAGUUGAUACUGGCUGUCUUGAGUACAGUAGAGGUGGGCGGAAUUCGUGGUGUAGCGGUGAAAUGCUUAGAUAUCACGAAGAACUCCGAUUGCGAAGGCAGCUCACUGGACUGCAACUGACACUGAUGC